GGGCUUUCUUUAUCGGAAUAGUUUGAAUACAGAAUUAACACCUCUUUCACACAACCCAGCAGCCCUUCAUUUUUUUUUUCCCCUUAGCACAUUGAGUCAUGUGCUCAGGAUGGGAGAGCUGCUGAUAGUUUGGGAUUCUGUCAGUGUGUGUGUUCCAAGAGUGAGUGGUGGUUCACAUGUGACAAGUAACUGUCACAGCCAGGUAUGAAGAAGCUUGAGGAGUGGCAGGAAGGGUGUAAACAGUGUAUGAUCUCAAGUUUUUCAAUCUGAGACC
rnacentral:snoRNA from 1 species